CUGCCGAAACCAAAUCCCGAAUCCUACUCCCAUCCUCAGUCCAUUAACACAGAAACACAUUAAUGAAGUAAACAACGUCCACUGCAGUGUAUUUUUUUUUUUAGCUGUGACUGUUCUUCCUUUGCCAUACCUGAAGUUUGGCUGCUGUCUGUAGAUUCCUUCGUGCACAACUUGCAUUCUUACGGAUGAUUUAUACACAAAUGUUUUAACAGCGGCGAGAUUGUGUAUUGUUUAGGGUCCUUGCCACCACAAGACAAAUCAGCAUUGCAAACUGAACAUGUAGCUCGACUUGAAUUGCCUUCUUUUGACUGAAAGUACUGCCAAACAAAACUAUUUCUACUCACAAGUUCCAUUUUCACUUUCUUACAGCCUACUGCAUUGAACGGUCCACCUAUGUAGACACCUUGCUGUAACCAACGGCGGCGUCAUUACGCCGACCAGCAUAGCGCGCGUAGUUCAAAUGUAGGGUUCUGUUCAGUGGGGAAAA